rnacentral:rRNA from 1 species
CAGCCGCCACGGUAAUACGAAGGGUGCAAGCGUUACUCAGAAUUACUGGGCGUAAAGCGUGCGUAGGUGGUGGUUUAAGUCCGUUGUGAAAGCCCUGGGCUCAACCUGGGAAUUGCAGUGGAUACUGGAUCACUAGAGUGUGGUAGAGGAUAGUGGAAUUUCCGGUGUAGCAGUGAAAUGCGUAGAGAUCGGAAGGAACAUCUGUGGCGAAGGCGACUAUCUGGGCCAACACUGACACUGAGGCACGAAAGCGUGGGGAGCAAACAGGAUUAGAUACCCCCGUAGUCCCUGUCUCUUAUAC